rfam:Otolemur garnettii contig002375, whole genome shotgun sequence.
AAGGAGAAGUGCAGGGAGCCCAGAAUGAAGUGCGUUUCAGGGGCGCGUGGAAACGCCCAGGCGCGCAAGGGAGCAGCUCCGGCAGCGGCAGCGCAGCCUGAGACUGGAAGAAAGCAGCGGGUUGCAGUCCGGCUGGCUGGGGAUGGGACACGAAGCUUUCCAGCCAGUCAAGACAGUUUCAGUUUUAUGGAGAAACAAGAGCGUUUC